CUGUGAAAAAAAAAAAAAGAGACAGAAUUUACAAAAAAUAUGUGAUGAACUUUUAAAAUGCAACACGUGACUGAAGAAGAUGGUGGUUUUGAGCACAAACAACAGGAGAAAGUGUAGUUGAAGUUUCCCUGAGCUGCUGGGUCACACUCCCCCGGCCGACAGGGGGCGCUGCAGUACAGAGCUGCUGUCUGACGGCGGGAACUAAUGAACCGGAGCAGGAACGAGCUGCAGACUUAAAACUGUUCAAUGAAGAGACAUACAAGCUGUGAUGAUGAUGAUGAAGUUGAAGAUUUUAAAGAUUCAUUGUGAAUCUGGUGCCGACGGUGAUGACGUAAACAGCUGCGCCAGUCAACACACCUGUUCCACCAGGCUGAGCAGUCACACACUUUCUUUGAAACGCCGGCCUCCAUUUUCUCAGCGAGGGGACGCCUCUCCAUUUGACCUCGGUGAAGAUUUGAAUCUGCACUUUGAACAAAAUGUUUGUUUAUCUAGAUUGGCUGCAGCAGGAACUCGUCUUUGUGGAUCCAUCUACAAAAACCCACUUGUUUCCACACACACUGAACCCAGAGCUGCGACUAAUGACGAUGAUCGUCCUUGAAAAUGCUCCUGAUAAUUUCCCACAGAGCAACAUGAAGUCUUCAGAGAUCUUGUUGGUGGAUAAUCUCUUCAGUUGUUCUGUAAAAUGUGUUUGAAUGGACGUCAAAGAUAAAACCUUGUUGUGUUUAAGACCAAGAUCAAAGUAAAACUGUAUUAAAUCAGGAUUAAAUUCAGUCCACACUGAUGCAGGGACAAAAGGAACCGAUCAUUCAGAGACACUUGUAGUUUGGUUUCUUUCCAGUCUAAUUUCUAAUAAAGAAUAAUUUGUU